rnacentral:rRNA from 1 species
GACGAACGCUGGCGGCGUGCCUAAUACAUGCAAGUUGAGCGAUGAAGAUUGGUGCUUGCACCAAUUUGAAGAGCAGCGAACGGGUGAGUAACGCGUGGGGAAUCUGCCUUUGAGCGGGGGACAACAUUUGGAAGCGAAUGCUAAUACCGCAUAACAACUUUAAACAUAAGUUUUAAGUUUGAAAGAUGCAAUUGCAUCACUCAAAGAUGAUCCCGCGUUGUAUUAGCUAGUUGGUGAGGUAAAGGCUCACCAAGGCGAUGAUACAUAGCCGACCUGAGAGGGUGAUCGGCCACAUUGGGACUGAGACACGGCCCAAACUCCUACGGGAGGCAGCAGUAGGGAAUCUUCGGCAAUGGACGAAGGUCUGACCGAGCAACGCCGCGUGAGUGAAGAAGGUUUUCGGAUCGUAAAACUCUGUUGGUAGAGAAGAACGUUGGUGAGAGUGGAAAGCUCAUCAAGUGACGGUAACUACCCAGAAAGGGACGGCUAACUACGUG